CCUACGGGAGGCAGCAGUCGAGAAUCAUUCACAAUGGGGGAAACCCUGAUGGUGCGACGCCGCGUGGGGGAAUGAAGGUCUUCGGAUUUUAAACCCCUGUCAUGUGGGAGCAAAUUAAAAAGAUAGUACCACAAGAGGAAGAGACGGCUAACUCUGUGCCAGCAGCCGCGGUAAUACAGAGGUCUCAAGCGUUGUUCGGAAUCACUGGGCGUAAAGCGUGCGUAGGCGGUGUCGUAAGUCGUGUGUGAAAGGCGCGGGCUCAACCCGCGGACGGCACAUGAUACUGCGAGACUAGAGUAAUGGAGGGGGAACCGGAAUUCUCGGUGUAGCAGUGAAAUGCGUAGAUAUCGAGAGGAACACUCGUGGCGAAGGCGGGUUCCUGGACAGUAACUGACGCUGAGGCACGAAGGCCAGGGGAGCGAAAGGGAUUAGAUACCCUUGUAGUC
rnacentral:rRNA from 1 species